ensembl:lncRNA
GAGAGAUCAAAAGGUGCUGAAAGCCCUUGCCCUCAAAACACACCUCUAGUUAUUGGGGAGCUAGGGAAAUGUAGAUUCUAAUAAAUAUGGCUUGCAGGAGUCGAUGAACAAAGGUACUUAAUGCAGACCUAAGCCUCCGUUGAUAUUGCUCCGCUAGCAGUAUCUAAAUAUUCAAAAGCAAAGUGGCUCUCUCGCUGCCAUGACACUCAAUCAAAGCACCUAGAGUGGGCUGGCCGAUACCAGAGGGGGUACCAAGCAGAGCAAGGACAGAGAAAGGCACUGGGAGAGCACCAGAAUUGGAAAUAGAGCAGCCAUUUGGAUUUGGGCAGGAAGCAGCCGUGCACAGCUUUGGAUCC